UCUCACUUCUGCAGGAAAAAUACAAACUUAGAACAACAGAGAUUGGAUUAGCAUGGCCCCUGUGCACAGAUGACAUGUAAAUUCGUGACGUUUUCCAUAUUUUU